rnacentral:misc_RNA from 1 species
AUUGAAUUCUUGUUUUAGUGAUGCAUGCAUUGGAUCUAAGUUAAUAUGAUACCAUUAAUUCAUUUGCCAAUCAACAAUUAUUUAUAUCUUUGUCUCAUUGACAUAGAACCGUGGGUAGGCUUCAAAAAUUUCAGAUAUAAAAUAAAUGCAGUUUUCACAUUUGAGACCCAAUCUACAUAAUUUAUCAAUUUCAUUCUAAUUUUAAUAUUUCGAGAGUUCAAUUGUGAGUUUCAGAACUGAUAACCUGACAAGUGGUUUCAGAAUUGUGAAGAUAAGUCUGUUAUUUGUGAAAGAUUUGAUUCAAUUUGUAGUAUUUCUUUGCUAAUUCAUAUAAUUUGACUGUUGUUCCAUGAUUGGUUGCUCGUCUCCCAAUCAGUUUUUGUUGGUAUUCUAUGACGUGUUAUUAACUUAUGCAGUCUGUCAUGUGAAUUUUUAUUCUUUCAAGUUGACUCAUAAUUCUGCAACAUAUAUAUAUAUGAAUGAGGAUUCAUAUUGUUGGUUAGAAUUUAUUUUCCGUGAAUGAAUCAUGCUGUGUAAAAUAAUAUUUUUGGACACAAAGCAGAUGGUAAUAGUUCUGGAGAUAAUCUGGUUAUUAGGACCAAGGUUAAGUAAAUUACCUACUAGGAUGAAAUGUUUCUUUCAAAUGUUCAAGAUUUUCUAUUGCUGUCUACAGUAAAAUAGGCAUGUCUUAAAAUAUUUCCUGUUGAAUAGUGAACCAAAAAAAGAACGCAGAACUCUGUUAUUUAAUGAAUUGAACAAGUUUGAACUUAAGAAACAUGUACAAAAAGUUAUAUCAAAUUUAAUGUUCGCUAUGUUAUGAUCAAAUAUUGUUGAUCCUUUUUUGAGUUCGAAGUAUGAGCAGAAUAAUAAGACUAUCUUUCCUUAUCUCUUUAGCUUAUUUUGUUGCUUUUGAUGACCAUCCUCAAUUAGUUAAUGCUUGUGAAGUACUUUGGCAUCAUCGACUUUCCUAUGCAGAGGAAGAAACAAUUUUGGAUGCUUUUUAACGGUAUACAAAUAUGGUGUCUAUCUGCAUCUGGAAUUCUAGAUACGAUUUCUCUUGUUGCAAUUCAUUAGGAUCUGGACUUUAGAUAUUUACAUAGAAAGAGAAGCAAGGACAUGGGAAUGGGUUUGCAAACAAGCUGGUCACAUAUUUAUUGAUUUUGAGGAUUACUUAUGAAGCUGUUUGAGAAUGUUUUAUAAAGGAUAAUAAAAGAUAUCAUGUUGUUGGCAUGUAACAAUUGAUGAGAGAAGCGAGAGGAAAAAGGGAUUUAAAAGCUCCUUGUGUCAUCAAAACGUUAAUUGUGGACUCGAAGAAUUGUUAAUUCUAUUGAAUUGCGCUUAAUCUUAGUUGUUCUGCUAGCUUUUAAGGCAAUUCUUGAAAUGCCUUGUUAAGUUUUGUGUUUUGGUAGUGCUUUGCUCUUUUAGUUCUCUUAUUGUGUACCUUCCUUAGAAUGAAUUUCUUUUCCAUAUCAAAAGAAGUAGCUCUUUUUACAUUUCAUAAUUUAGUACAAGA